UCCCAACUACGGAUAUAUAAGAGCCAAAAAUUGGAUUUAGGAUUACGGAACAAAAGGGCCUGUUAUGCAUUUUAGAAGAGGAGAAUAAUACUUACUAUUUGCCCGCCAAAAUAUUUCCGCUCUGUAAACUCUUUAUAACUCAAAGGGAAUUGGAAUGACGCUCUUUCUUUUUCUUUCUCCGGAAAAGGAGAGUCACUUACCCAGAAAAGAUGUUGCUAGGCAGGCGGUUCCCUCGGCCGCCUUUACUUGGAGGCCCCUUUCACUCCAUGAAGUAGCGAGGCUCGUUGAAGCAGACCUAGGCAGAAGGAAAAGAGGUCGUUCGCGCUCGAUAAUAGGGGUCGUUCCCCUGUUGACAAUGAAAGGCAUCUUAGUAGUCCACAGUAGAUGGCGUUCAGAACCAGCCGCGAAGAAUAUUUCCAUCACA
rnacentral:misc_RNA from 1 species